GCACGUUUUUUAUUAUCUUAUUUUUGGGGACACAUCUUUGAUCAUGAUUAUUUUACACACGUAAACAAUUUAACGAUGAAUUUAGGUAGGAGAAUAAGCAUCAAAUACAUAAAUAUAGUCAGCUAGGUAGAUGUUAUAUAUAUCUUCUUUGCUCGACUAAAACAUAGUCCCUGAAGAUACAUAUAUACAUAAAACAUUUAUAAUUAAGAGAGAAAAGAUUUGAAGGCCACACGAAAUCCUCCUAGAUUGAAAGCCAGGUAUUGGGAGUAGAUUCAUAAGUGAGGCCACGUCAUGGUUUGCAGCCAUAUGUAUCAAGUCCUACUCAUACAUAGCAAUCUGAAUAGAACUUAUGGGUUCCACAUGCAUAUGGUUUCCAGGAUAACCUUGACCCCCUGCUGAGAUGCUUCCUAUGGAUCCCACUUAUGAGAUGGCAUAUUGUACUUGAAUCCUUUAUUCUUUUCUUUUUAUAAAUAUAUUUAUUAUUAAAACGUAUCCA